GCUAAUUCACAUUCACUUUUUAAUUUUCGAGUAUCAAUCAUUAAAAAAAAUUCCUUUCAUACAUAAAUACAUGUUGAUUUCCAGGAUUUCAAACCAUCUACUUAAGUUUUAUGCCUUAAUAGGAGUUGCUAUUCAGGACUUUAAAAAGAUUUUCGAACCUUCACAAUAGCUCAAUAUUCAAAGCUUAUUUCCUAAGGCUAAACAGCACAAAUAAUUUACCCAUGUGGCAAUUAAGAUACUGAAAAGUACCAAAUCUUGACAAAACCUCUGCUGAACUCUAUUUGGCACUCAAAUUGGCUUCAGGUCUAAUUUUAUGUGUUUGGAAAUUUUGGAUUUGAUUCCACCCAUAUUUGGCUUCUGCUCACAAUUCAUUUUUCACAAACACAGUAAUUCUCAUUUUAUUUUUUUAUUAAAUUUUUUUUUAAAAAAGUAGAGACGAGAUCUCACUAAGCGUCCCAGGCUGGCUUCAAACUCCUGGCCUUCAGUGAUCUUUCUACCUCAGCCUCCCUAGGUGUUGGGACUGGGCAUGAGUCACGGCAAUGGGCCAGCCAUAACUCUCAAUGCAACACACAAGUUACAGAAUUCAUAUAGUUAACAGGCACAUUAAAUAGCUUUAUCUCUUCUGCCUAGUGUCCAUUUAGCAACAUCACCCCAUCCCCCUGCCACUGACUAAUUCUAUAAGCACAUUUUUACAUACAUUUAAAACUGGAUGUCUUAAUUCCUUGUACCACUAUUGCUAAGCCCUCACUGCUAUUUUACUGUAUAAGAAUAUAACUCUUCUUACUUUUAUAAACAGCCUUUGAAGAACUGCCAGAGAAUUCAGAUUAUUUAGAUUUCUGAAACACAGUAGCAAGUAUGUAAACUCCCAUUUGGCAAUACCUUUACUUUCCUAAAAACCACAAGUGGGAGGCUGGGCGUGGUAGCUCACCCCUGUAAUCCCAGCACUUUGGGAGGCCAAGGUGGGUGGAUCACCUGAAGUUAGGAGUUCGAGACGAGCCUGAACAACAUGGUGAAACCCUAUCUCUACUAAAAAUACAAAAAUUAGCCGGGCGUGGUGGCGGGCGCCUGUACUCCCAGCUACUUGGGAGGCUGAGGCAGGAGAAUCUCUUGAACCUGGAAGGCAGAGGUUGCAGUGAGCUGAGGUCAUGCCACUGCACUCCAGCCUGGGCAACAAGAGUGAGACUCCCUCUAAAACAAAACAAAACAAAACCCACAAGUGGGCUAAUCACAAAUAUAUUUGAAUAUAUGUACACCCUUAAUACUACCAAUUACUACACACUACUAAAGCAAUCUAGGCAGAUCACAAUUCAAGUUCCUAAGAAUGCGACCAUAAGGAAAAUGGUCGGGCUGCAAUGAAACACCUUCACAUCAAUAAUUAGAAUGCUGGAUGACAACCCCAACAGUCGAGACCCAAACUGACUUGGCCCACCAUUCCAAGCACUCCUAAUAGCACUAAGGAAUCACUCAGGGCAGGCCGGGCGUGGUGGCUCACACCUGUAAACCCAGCACUUUGGGAGGCCAAGACAGGUGGAUCACGAGGUCAGGAGAUCGAGACCAUCCUGGCCAACAUGGUGAAACCCCGUCUCUACUAAAAAUACAAAAAAUUAGCCAGGCAUGGUGGUGGGUGCCUGUUGUCCCAGCUACUCAGGAGGCUGAGGCAGGAGAAUGGCGUGAACCCCAGAGGCAGAGCCUGCCGUAAGCUGAGAUCGCGCCACUGCACUCCAGCUUGGGCAACAGAGCGAGACUCCAUCUCAAAAAAAAAAAAAGAAAGCAGUCACUCAGGGCCGACCACUCUCCACAGCUCCACACAGGUUUCCUUCCUCUAGCUGCCCACCAAUUGCCUGUUCUAGGCUUUGCCCAAACCAUUCAGCGUCUAAUUACUUCUCUCACAGUUUGCGUUUAGUAUCUUGAAACGGUGGCCUGGCAAAAACGCUGAUUAAAAACCAAGCAAAAGCCAGGAUUAUCUUGAGUACGCACCUGGGAAGCUAUGGAAGCUGAUCAACCUCCGCCCGAGGAAACCUAGAAGCACACACAACACACAAAAACUAAGCCAUCAAUGGCACAAGAAGGCAUCUCUGAAACAGCAAUCCAAUGCUGCCAUCUACUGGCCAUGCGUGUUGAACACCUCACAAAAACUAAGCUAAUUUAGCAGCUGAUUUUCAUUAGCCUUCUUAGAGUAGGUUCCAGAAUACCUGGCCAUCUUCAAUACAAACGAGAAUUCACACAAGAUAACCACCAACAUAAAGCAGCCUGGAUGUUGGAUAUACAAUAUAUUUAUUUAAUAUAUAUUGAAGGAAUCAAUAAAGAUUCAUAGCAACCAGGCUUAGCUCUAUGGAUCAACCAAUGGCUCUCCUUUUCUUAUACCUGGCCCAUUUCUCCUACUUAGGGUACCCUUGGAUAUUUGCACCACAAUCUCUGUCCUUUACUCAUGAGACUUUAAGCCUCCCAAGGGCAGGGACUGUUUCCCUUAUUUACCAUUUCCCCCAGGAUCCAGCCCAGUGCUUUAAACAAUGUUAAUAAAAGAUGGCAAGUGACAGCAAAGUACCAAGAAAUUCUGUCAAACACUGAUGGAGGACCACCUUUUAUUGGUGGAGCAUUUUAUGGUAUACCAAGCAUUUUUACUUGCUGUAACCAGUUACCUGCUCAAGAACCUGUUGGCCAUUAUUUACACCACUUUAUAGAUAAGAACACUAAGGUUCAAAAGUGUAAUGAGGUCCUAAGUCACCAUUAAACGUAACUCUAGGCCAGGCGCGGUGGCUCACGCCUGUAGUCUCAGCACUUUGAGAGGGCAAGGCAGGUGGAUCACCUGAGGUCAGUAGACCAGCCUGGCCAACAACCCUGUCUCUACUAAAAAUACAAAAAAAUUAGCUGGGCGUGGUGGCAGCCCUGUAAUCCCAGCUACUCAGUAGGCUGAGGCAUGAGAAUCGCUUGAACCUGGAAGGCAGAGGUUGCAGUGAGCCAAGAUUGCACCACUACACUCCAGCCUGGGUGACAGAGCAAGAUUGUCUCAAAAAGAAAAAAAGUAACUCUUUCUAAAUUUUUGUGAAACUGUGGUGUGCGCACCCAUCAGCUAGAAAAUCAAAACUCAAACAAUGUGACACGUCCCCUGAAGGUCCAUCUGGCAAAUGAAUGCAGCCACCUUCAAAUUUUGCAUGAUGUGGGCUUAUAUGACAUGAAUUUCCAGAUCCUAGAGACUGGAUUCUAAGUGCCAAUUUAGGCAGAAGGAUCGCUUGAGCCCAGGAACUCGAGACCCGCCUGGGCAAUGUAGUGAGACCCCAUCUCUUAUAUUAAAUUUAAAAUAAAAAUAAAAAUAAACUAAGUGCCAAGUUAAGAAGGUAUUACUUUCUGGCAGGAGUCAAAUAUUUUAGUUAGUGACCGACCAGUCUCCAAGUCUGUUAUUGAGUGCCACUGACUGAAUAUGACAGGCCUGCCUCGAGUACUGAGCCUCAUAGCUAAAGCCUCAGCUCUCUCCAGGAAGUUCGGCCUGCGGUUCCGCAGAGGCAAGAAAGUCUUAAAGCAAGGACUCAAGUUAGGCUGCCUGAAUCCAAAUCCUGGCUCCACUGUUUACUAAUAGGAUCCUGAAUAACUUAUUUACCUCUCUGCUUCUUCAUUAUCUUCUUCAUAUAGGUGGCAGUCACAGACCAGACAAGAAAGCUGAAGCGUCAUCCAGACAAGACUGAACCAUACCUUCAGCCAGGACAGACUCAUAUGGAAAAGCUCUCUAAAGAGAAGGGAAUCCCCUCCAUGAUAAAUGCUUAGUUUAACAUGUUCGACUGGUGCUCAAUUGUCUAUUGGCUGACAAAUCAUUUCCACAAGCUGGGCUUUUCUAGCACAAUCCUCUGAAAUAAAAAUGUGAAAAAGCAAAACCUAAAAA